rnacentral:hammerhead_ribozyme from 1 species
GCACUGCUGCGGAGUCGCAUAAUAGGACGAAACGGCCGUCCUGUGC